CAACGGAUAUCUCGGCUCUCGCCACGAUGAAGAAUGUAGCGAAAUGCGAUACUUAGUGUGUAAUGCAGAAUCCCGUGAAUCAUCAAGUCUUUGAACGCRAGUUGCGCCCGAGGCCUCGGCCAAGGGCASGUCUGCUUGGGNGUCGCACUCCAAAAUUGCCCUCCCCUCGAGGAGCGUAGAUGGCCGUCCGUGUCCGCAAGUGGGGCGGUCGGCUGAAAUGAGCACGGGGUCCGUCGAUCCGUCGC
rnacentral:rRNA from 1 species